GAUCAUGGCUCAGGAUGAACGCUAGCGGCAGGCUUAAUACAUGCAAGUCGAGGGGGCAGCAAUGUCACCGGCGAACGGUGCGUAACGCGUAUGCAACCUACCUACAUCGAGGGGGAUAGCCCUAGGAAACUGGGAUUAACACCGCAUAAUAUAUGACAAGGCAUCUUGUUAUAUUGAAAUAUUUAUAGGGAUGUAGAUGGGCAUGCGUCCCAUUAGCUAGAUGGUAAGGUAACGGCUUACCAUGGCAACGAUGGGUAGGGGGCCUGAGAGGGUGGUCCCCCACACUGGUACUGAGACACGGACCAGACUCCUACGGGAGGCAGCAGUGAGGAAUAUUGGUCAAUGGGCGCAAGCCUGAACCAGCCAUGCCGCGUGCAGGAAGACGGUCCUAUGGAUUGUAAACUGCUUUUAUUUGGGAAUAAACCUAUUUACGUGUAGAUAGCUGAAGGUACCAAAUGAAUAAGCACCGGCUAACUCCGUG
rnacentral:rRNA from 1 species